rnacentral:rRNA from 1 species
GUACGGGGGGGGCAAGCGUUGUUCGGAAUUACUGGGCGUAAAGGGCUCGUAGGCGGCCAACUAAGUCAGACGUGAAAUCCCUCGGCUUAACCGGGGAACUGCGUCUGAUACUGGAUGGCUUGAGGUUGGGAGAGGGAUGCGGAAUUCCAGGUGUAGCGGUGAAAUGCGUAGAUAUCUGGAGGAACACCGGUGGCGAAGGCGGCAUCCUGGACCAAUUCUGACACUGAGGAGCGAAAGCCAGGGGAGCAAACGGG